GAUAGCGCAAAAAGGCGGAAACCACAGAGAGAGCGGGCCCCUCCUCUCGGACCUCUCUCGAUUCCGUCGAAGUUCGAACGGAGGGCGAAGAUUUUAUCAUCCACCCUCCUCUCCUCUUCUUCGAUCUCUCCGCCACCUUCUCCUUCUUAGCUCCCCAACUCUCCCGGUCGCUUGUUUUCGAUCUCACCUCCUCCUCGAGAGCUAGGGUUUCGGUUCUCUCUCCAUUUCACUCCUUUUUGUGAUUCUCUCUUCUUCGAUCUCGGAGCUCCAGUGCCAUGGCGCCGAUCUCCGUUCCCUGUCCUAAGUGCUCCGUGAUCGCUCCGCAUGGCGCGUGGCGUCCCCAGCCGAUCCCAAUGAUCUCGGUUUCCAAGCCGCGGACACCUCUGCUCGCCGGAUCCGCCCGGUUUACGUUGCUGAAGGGAUCUAAUAGGAGCCACUCCCCCAUUUUGAAGGCCCAGGUUCAGGAGGUUGCUGUUGAGAGCUCUUCAAGUUCUUACCAAAUGACAUCAACCAAGCCAGGAGAUUUAUCAUCAAAAGAUGAAGAAGCUGGUUAUCAGGAGGAAUCUGCCAGUCAAGCUACAGUACCAGAUUCCACGAUAUCUGCAUAUAUUGCUGAAGCUUCCAAACUUGUUAACAGGUUGGUGGAUUCAAAAGAUAUAACAGAGCUGCAGCUAAAACAGAAGGAUUUUGAACUCAUAAUAAGGAAAAAAGAAGCUAUACCACAGCAAGCUUCUGUUGCUCCAGUGAUGAUGCAACCUCCACAAGCUGUGUUUCUACCUCAACCCCCAGUUUCCCAUGCAACUCCACCUCCCGCAGCUGCAAGUCCAUCUCCAGCGGCCCCGGCACCGGCUUUUCCUCCUGCAACAAAGGGAGGGAGCAAAUCAUCUCUUCCUCCCCUCAAAUGCCCCAUGGCUGGCACAUUUUACCAAUGCCCCGCACCUGGGGAGCCACCAUUCGUGAAGAUUGGAGAUAAGGUGCAAAAAGGCCAGGUGGUUUGCAUCAUUGAGGCCAUGAAAUUGAUGAAUGAGAUUGAGGCUGAUCAAUCAGGGACAGUAGUUGAGAUACUCGCAGAGGAUGGAAAACCGGUCAGCAUUGAUACACCCUUACUUAUAAUUCAGCCCUGACGGAUGAAAUACCAGGUUUUGAGUAGCUCAGGAAAAAAACUUAUGGAUGAAGUUUAUUAGCCAGAUUACCUUUCAUACUUGUCUAAUUUAUCAUCUGUCAUUUAUGGGUGGUAAGUAUUUAUUUCAUCUGGAGAAUUAAGUUAUGUGAUGGGUAAAGGUAGAUGGUGCAAGGUGCAGGGAUAUCUUUUGUUAAUUUUGGGCCUGUUGCACCCCGAUGCUAUAUCGCAAUUUUCCAUGUACGCCCUCCCUCGUGGAUGAAUUUCUUUCUUGGACCUCAGAAGACUGGAGAUUGUUGUAAUUCUGAUUUCGUACCCAUAGUAGAUUAAACAUGAUGCACUAGUCAGAACAUACGUUUCAGUUAAUGAAAUCAAAUUUUGAUCUAUGAAGCAAAUAUGCAGCAUGGUGAUGUUUAAGAUGUGAUUGUGCAUUGAGCUUGAAUUUUAGAAAUCCAAUUCAAUUGAGCUGUUGGUUUACUUUUUCAAGGUCUGUUUUAUGUUGGUGAAGUGCUGCAUGCUUCAAUGACCCAAGCAACCUAACAAUAGGUUGUGCUCUAAACCAGUUCCUGAUCCUCUCUGUCAAAUGUAAUCCUUGCAAGGACUAAUCAACCCCAAGAUUUUUGUGAUGCUAUAAAUCACCUUCUAAUUGGAUUUCCUUUUUCAUGAUUUUCAGGAAAAAGGGAAGGCGAGCCUCCCACUCUCCAUUAAUCUCUUCUUCAUUUUAGCAUCUUUAUUCAGCAACUCCUGGACCCCUGCAAAAAGGAGGAGAAAAAGCUCCACCUACUUCAUUAGGAAAAUCUUGGGGAAAGUUGACAAGCAGCUUUAAGCUGCAAGAAGAGAAGAAAAAGAGGCGGGGAAGAAGAACAAAAGCUUUUGCUCAUGUUCCAGAACUACAAGAUGAACAUUUUUCUUGAAGCUACUUCAGCAAGGUUCACGGUCUGGAUUAGAUACUUGACUUCCUUUUACUCCAGAGAGUUCAUGGAUUUGUUUCCACUGGACUUUAGAUUUCAUAGGUGCUAUGUCUUUCCUAUUUUAUUCUGUUGGUCCUUCAAGAAUAACUUCGAUAUAUGGUCAAGAUAACUGUAUGGCAUUUGUAUACAAGGCCAUGACUAAUGUAUAGGCUGCUUAUGUUUGUAAGAUAUCUUAUCUAA